GCGGGGGACGCCCCACUGGCACUGCCUCUCACAUCCAUCGGCAGCACAUUCCUUUUCUCUCCUUGCCACCUGGCGCUUUGCCAUCUCCCAGUGCUUGCCAAGUCCAAGUAUUCCCUGAUGGAGUCCAACUCCAGCUCGACCAUCACUCACCCGGUCUGUCCCCACACCAGCUGGCUUAGGGCUCUCCAGUACUGCUGGAUGUCAGUGCCUUCUGUUGCUCCCUGUCAACAUGGUGGUGUUCUUUCUUUUUAGGUUCAGUAAUGUGUCUUCUUGUUAUGCAGUGUUACUCUUCUCUAUUUUCUUGUGUUUCAUGUUGCCUGUCAAUGCCUCUUUGGAGAUACACUGAGUGAAAUGUAAACUGAUGUUCUUUGACCAAGUGUGAUGGAAAAUGAAGAUGUAGGCUCCACUACAGCUAUUGUUCGAAGCGGGAAGGACCAUUUUGACUAUUUGUCAACGCCCACCUGGCAAUCUGAAUUUAGGAGCUGCUUUCAUGGACGUGUCGCUGCAGGGCAAAGAAGGCCUCAAAACUUCAGUGGACCUCUACCCCCAAAAGAGCUCUGAAACUUAUGUUAAGAAAAUAAAUGUCUUAAUAUUUUUCUGUCUUCUAUAGUUUUAACUGUUGCUUUAGCUUGGCCGGAAAAUAGGUAUGUAAAACUAAUUGAAAAUCUUGCUGAAGGAAGGUUUUAGUGUUUCAGACUGUUGGGUUUGUAUGACUCUCCCAAGAAGUGUAGGAAGUGUGCCAAUUUACGCAGCAGUUGCACUAAAUUGAACAAUACUGAAUUAUGUAACAAAUCAGAUGGAAAACGGUGGAAAUUGUAAAUGCGUGGAUGAAAAUCAGAGUAAGGUUGUUGAUUUGUUUGUUUGCUUGUUUUUUUUUUUUUUUUUUUUUUUUUUUGUUGUUGUUAUUAUUACUAAUACCUGAACCAUUUUUAUAGACAGGAAUGACAACAGUGCAAACCAUAUAAACUUUGGGUGCAGGAACCUGUCAGGUGUAGGGUGUUGUUGGGAAUAUGGCAAUUUUGGGAUGCUUACGAGAUAUAAUGAGACCGCUCGAUGGCAGCAAGGCAGGUACUGUGAUCCUAGGGCCACUAACAAUACAGUGCAGUCUGGAGAUAAAGAUAUAUUAGCUAUAGCGGGCAUGGGGACUGCAUCAAUGUAGCAUAGGCAAAAACACUGUCAGCUCCUCUUUGGGUAUUGGUGGAUGUGUGCGAAAUAGAUACGCAUGUGAAAUUCUCCCAUUGAAUUGGACUGGGACAUGCACAGCAGGUUAUCUGAUGCCUCACACAAGUAUCUACACUUGCAUAGAGCCACCAUGAGGAUUUUUAAGAGCUAUGCAGCUAUAGACUAAGAGAGGGAAUACUCCACUAGUUGAAAGGACUAUGGGAUUCCAUAGUUUUAUUUGAUGGGUACUUUCAGCUGUCGGAGUCACUGAACUGGAACAAGCAGUUGUGAAUGUAUUAGUCACUAUGGAAAGAAUUGAGAACCUAAGUUUAGAAGCCAUCCAGGGUCUUCAGACAGAGAUCUCACGCUGAGUAAAUCAGUCUUGCAGAAUAGAAUGGCCCUCGACAUUCUUACCGCAAAGGUAUGAGGGGUCUCUAUGAUUAUUAACCGAAGUCACUGCGCUUACAUGGACUGAAAUGUACACAUAGAGAGUGAUUUAUAAGCCAUUUGGAGAGGCGUUUGAGAGCUACACCAAGUCUCCUUACAUGACCCUUCUGCUGGAAUCAUGGAUAUGUGGAAUAAGCUUUGUAACUGGCUGCCUAACUUUGUGUGGCUAAAGUGACCAGCUGUAGUUGUACUGACGAUCCUCAUUGUGAUAACCUGCAUAGGUGCGAGGUGUUCUUUCUGGUGCUAUUGAAAAAUGCUAGAUGAGUGCUCCACCUAGAAGAGGUACCGUGUGAAAUGUCAGGUAGAAAUGGGGAAAUAGUUCUGGAACACAUUACUUGACAGUUGGGCACUGAAAGCAAAAGCCUUUGCAUAACAUAUAGAAAAGGGUGGAUUGUAUCAAGGGAAGUAUAAAUCUGGACCUCAUAGUAUGUGCCAAGUUGGGAAGGAACACAGAAAGUGGUGGAACGUGAGGUCUGUGAGUACAAGGAAGAUAAGGGCGGAGAGCUGAUGACACAAUGGAAGGUCCAUUGAAGGUCAGCGGAGUUUCUCUUUGUAACUGAAUAUGCAGUCCCAUGAACAUAAGGAGGCAGAGCUGCCAUUGCUGAGCAUAAGGAAGUGAAGUUGCUGUUGCGACACAAUGCAAGCCUGACCUUCUGAAGUUGGAAGCUCUCAGCGAGGUAUGCUGAUCACCUUCAUCCAACACUGACCAGAGAACCGCGCUGCUUCUUUAGGACCAUGACAGUAGGGUGGGGCAAUGUGUUAAUAAUGUCUUGGAAUUCCACCCAUCUUUCUUGCAAUGUAAUUAAUGUUUGUAUGUUAUGUUUUAAAAUAUGUAACCAUUGUUAUCCUGGCUGUGCGAGUUAGGAGAUUUCUCGUUGCAUCUUACGUUGUAAUAAAAAUGCCUCUUGAGUGAGUGUGUCUACAUUACGAUUUUGGUAUGAACGCAGGGCUUAUACCUGGCAUUCUGCUAUUGAGCAUUUGUGAAUGAAGAAAACUUUUAUAGAGGGUGAUUUAGGAAGACGCCUGGAUGAAGUUGAAAGCUGCUGGAUUGACCGUCAUGCUGCUCAAAGAAUCAUAUGGAGUAGAAGCGAGCCUGGAAUAGAAGACUGGAAAUCUUUAGUAUCCGUCUCGGAGAGCAUAUGGACCUGGAGCGACACGGGGGUCUGUCUGUGUUUAUCAUCUUGUGUGUUACUGCUGAGUGUGCGGUAUCUGUGGAACUAGCGUGGAGUCUGAAUUGUGUCAUCUUCGAAGCUGUUAUGCUGGAAAUAUCCUCUGUGCUUUCUGGAAUUGCUAAUAAAGACUUCCUGCCUUAAUGUUAA